rnacentral:rRNA from 1 species
GACGAACGCUGGCGGCGUGCCUAAUACAUGCAAGUCGAACGCAGUGGGGACGGGUGAGUAACACGUGGGUAACCUCCCAUCAGAGGGGAUAACACUUGGAAACAGGUGCUAAACCGAUACUGAUGGAUGGACCCGCGGUGCAUGAGCUAGUUGGUGAGGUAACGGCUCACCAAGGCCACGAUGCAUAGCCCACCGUAGGGGUGGACCGGCCACACAGGGACUGAGACACGGACCAGACUCCUACGGGAGGCAGAAGUAGGGAAUCUUCGGCAAUGGAGGAAAGUCUGACCGAGCAACGCCGCGUGAGUGAAGGAGGUUUUCGGAUCGUAAAACUCUGGUGUUAGAAAAGCGGUAUCUAACCAGAAAGCCACGGCUAACUACGUGCCAGCAGCCGCGGUAAUAC